AUUGAACGCUGGCGGAAUGCUUUACACAUGCAAGUCGAACGGCAGCACGGGGGCAACCCUGGUGGCGAGUGGCGAACGGGUGAGUAAUACAUCGGAACGUGCCCGGUCGUGGGGGAUAACGUAGCGAAAGUUACGCUAAUACCGCAUACGAUCUGAGGAUGAAAGCGGGGGACCUUCGGGCCUCGCGCGAUCGGAGCGGCCGAUGUCAGAUUAGGUAGUUGGUGGGGUAAAGGCCUACCAAGCCGACGAUCUGUAGCUGGUCUGAGAGGACGACCAGCCACACUGGGACCGAGACACGGCCCAGACUCCUACGGGAGGCAGCAGUGGGGAAUUUUGGACAAUGGGCGCAAGCCUGAUCCAGCCAUUCCGCGUGCAGGACGAAGGCCUUCGGGUUGUAAACUGCUUUUGUAUGGAACGAAAAGGCUCUGGCUAAUACCUGGGGCUCAUGACGGUACCGUAAGAAUAAGCACCGGCUAACUACGUG
rnacentral:rRNA from 1 species